GGACACGGUCAGUACAGCGAGCGCAAUAUUACGGAGUCGGCGUCGACAGCGCGCGAUUCAUCUCGCCGCGCCGCCGCCGCAAUGUCGCCGCUCGCCUGCUUGCUGCUCGCUUUGCUGAUCGCCGCCACCGACGCCUUGUUAGCGAACCCUUUUUGCAGCUUCCUGGAAUCGGGUGAAAUUGACGGCUAUCCAGAAGAUAACUUUGUGGAUUUUUCGCUAACCGUUGCUGGUGGCACCAUCACUACUCCUGAUAAAUGUGCCAGACCAGGAAGCUAGAUCAUCGGCGAGUCUAUCAGCGCCCAUGCAACUCUAAGCCAGAUAUCAUACAAGCAUUGCAGACGCAAUAUCAUUUCAAACCGAACUUCGCUUUAGUCUACAUCGACUGUCCUAGCGAUAUCCCUGGCUGUGACUGUGACCAUCUCCAUGUUGAGGUAAUGCAGUUUUUCGGAAUGGUCACUGCACCUCAUAGAGUAGUGCGUAGAGUCCGACAUCUUUGCACCGGCUUGAAUACAAUAAAGUGUGAGUGUCAUUAUAAAAGUAACACACCUAACCUAACAGUUUCAUAGAAAUUUGACAUUUAUGAAGAUAUGUCCAUACUUUGUCAUUGCAAAAUAAUUAAGAUUUAAGAAUUGGAUGGCAUAAAAAACAUGUCUUUAAGCAGUUCAAUUAAGAGCUAUGCAUAUUAAAGGAAUAGUAAUCUGAUAUAUAAUAAGGUGGCUUACGUUUAAUUGGUAAAAUCGGCAGGGUUGCAGGCGGAGCGAAAUCAGUCCAAGUGACACGAGCAGGCAAUCGUGUGGGUGCAUUUCUUUCAAUAAUUGCUUGUUUGGUACCAACUGCUACUAAAAAGUAGGUUAGGUUAGAACUACGACCUUCACAAAAACCAACUGCUACUAGUAAAGUGGGUUAGGUUAGGUUAGAACUGCGACCUUCACAGAAACCAACUGCUACUAGAAACGUGGGUUAGGCUAACCUAAGUGAGAACUGCGAGCUUCACAGAAGCCGACUGCUCCUAGAAAACAAAGUUAGUUGGCAGUAAGUUUUUUGAAAGACAAAAUGAAAGGGAAGUAGUCAAGUGAUGGCCAAUAUUUAUUUUGUUUAAUACUUAAAUCAGGUGAACAGCAAAGGGUAGAUUAAGUUGGUUAGACAUUUACUGAUCAACUGAUUUCACAGCUAACCAAUGUUUGUGGAUCAGUUUAAUUGUAAUCCAAAAUGAAAUAACUCGCUUACCC